UGCAAGUCGAACGAUGAUGCCCAGCUUGCUGGGCGGAUUAGUGGCGAACGGGUGAGUAAUACGUGAGUAACCUGCCCUUGACUCUGGGAUAAGCCUGGGAAACUGGGUCUAAUACUGGAUACUACCUCUUGCCGCAUGGUGGGUGGUGGAAAGGGUUUUACUGGUUUUGGAUGGGCUCACGGCCUAUCAGCUUGUUGGUGGGGUAAUGGCUCACCAAGGCGACGACGGGUAGCCGGCCUGAGAGGGUGACCGGCCACACUGGGACUGAGACACGGCCCAGACUCCUACGGGAGGCAGCAGUGGGGAAUAUUGCACAAUGGGCGGAAGCCUGAUGCAGCGACGCCGCGUGAGGGAUGACGGCCUUCGGGUUGUAAACCUCUUUCAGUAGGGAAGAAGCGAGAGUGACGGUACCUGCAGAAGAAGCGCCGGCUAACUACGUGCCAGCAGCCGCGGUAAUACGUAGGGCGCAAGCGUUGUCCGGAAUUAUUGGGCGUAAAGAGCUCGUAGGCGGUUUGUCGCGUCUGCUGUGAAAGCCCGGGGCUCAACCCCGGGUCUGCAGUGGGUACGGGCAGACUAGAGUGCAGUAGGGGAGACUGGAAUUCCUGGUGUAGCGGUGAAAUGCGCAGAUAUCAGGAGGAACACCGAUGGCGAAGGCAGGUCUCUGGGCUGUUACUGACGCUGAGGAGCGAAAGCAUGGGGAGCGAACAGGAUUAGAUACCCUGGUAGUCCAUGCCGUAAACGUUGGGCACUAGGUGUGGGGGACAUUCCACGUUUUCCGCGCCGUAGCUAACGCAUUAAGUGCCCCGCCUGGGGAGUACGGCCGCAAGGCUAAAACUCAAAGGAAUUGACGGGGGCCCGCACAAGCGGCGGAGCAUGCGGAUUAAUUCGAUGCAACGCGAAGAACCUUACCAAGGCUUGACAUUCACCGGACCGCCCCAGAGAUGGGGUUUCCCUUCGGGGCUGGUGGACAGGUGGUGCAUGGUUGUCGUCAGCUCGUGUCGUGAGAUGUUGGGUUAAGUCCCGCAACGAGCGCAACCCUCGUUCUAUGUUGCCAGCACGUGAUGGUGGGGACUCAUAGGAGACUGCCGGGGUCAACUCGGAGGAAGGUGGGGAUGACGUCAAAUCAUCAUGCCCCUUAUGUCUUGGGCUUCACGCAUGCUACAAUGGCCGGUACAAAGGGUUGCGAUACUGUGAGGUGGAGCUAAUCCCAAAAAGCCGGUCUCAGUUCGGAUUGAGGUCUGCAACUCGACCUCAUGAAGUCGGAGUCGCUAGUAAUCGCAGAUCAGCAACGCUGCGGUGAAUACGUUCCCGGGCCUUGUACACACCGCCCGUCAAGUCACGAAAGUUGGUAACACCCGAAGCCGGUGGUCCUAACCCCUUGUGGGAGGGAGCCGUCGAA
rnacentral:rRNA from 1 species